ACUGACCAACACCUGCAGGUGAGGAAACUACCUGAGGCCAGGGCAAGAACCACCCGAAAGGAUCAGAGGGAACAAUCUCCAAAGCUCACACAAGAUGCUGUGAGAGCUAGGGUUUUUUCCCCCUCUCCCCUCCUCCCUCUCAUCUUCCACCUGGGCCUCUCACCAGCCUGGCGGUUACCAACCUUGGCUGGAAUGACUGGGCACACUCCCAGAGAGCCUGACGUGACUGUAAUUGGUCUAAGUGCAGCCUGAGCAUUAGGAGUUUUAAAAGCCCUCCCUGUGAGUCUAGUGGGUGAGCCACUGCAGGAGCUGAACCCAGGUAGAAGCCAGGAGACUGGGAAAAGCAGCCGGAGGAAAUCAGAGUCCUGCCAUGCAAGGUUAUAUAAUAAAAGGACAAAUGCUUAUUACAAAAUAAAAUUUUAAGCCCAGAAACAACUUUAUAAGGUAAAAAGUAAAAGCACCUUCUUCUCUUCACCACCUGAACCCACUUCCUUCAGGAUGCCACUGUCAACAGUUUGAAGACAACAAGUUCCUUAAGAAGCAUGUAAUGAGAAGAAAAUUUAAAACACAAUAAAAGGAGUGAGUUGUUUAAGGAAAAUGACAUAUUUGAAACAUGAUGAUGUAAUUUUAAGACAACCCAUCGGGAGAGAUUAGCAUAGACAAGAACUGGAACAAUUUUCCUUUACUGUUACUCAUGUCCCUGCGCAAACCUACUAGAGCCACCUGGUGGACAAUGUCGAGAAGUUUACAGCAAAUGUCCGAAUGUGCUGCAAUGUGCUUGGGUUGUUACAGCACAAAAGACCAGCUUACUCACCAGGGUGACAGAAAUGCCUGAUUGUCAGCUGGGUACACAGCUGCUCAAAAUGGAGACUACAUUUUCCGGCUUCCUUUGUACAUGUAGUCAUAUGACUAGACUCCAGUCAUUGAUGUGAAAAAUCAUCUGCCCUUCUCUUCUUGUCUUCUCCUCAAUCUUGCUGCCUAAAAUGCAGACCCUGUUGUCUUGGACCAUGAGAAGAAGGGCCGUGGUCCAAGAGGUGGGGAUCAGUGAGACGGAAUCCCAGAGGACUCUGGGGUAAAUCCUCCUUUCAGCUCUGGACCACUCACCCAACAGCAGUCUUGUUCUCAUGUAAGCCAGUGUUAUUUUUGACAUUUUGCCUCUCACAGUUAAACCUCAUGCUUACUGCUACAAAGUAUUACUGCAAACUUACCCUGGAAUGAACAUCUUCCAGACAGAAGGGCUGUCUUACACAUUGUACACACAGAGGCAAAGGUCUGGUUUUUCACAUUCCCAUCACUAAAACAUAGCAGAAAGACCUUUAUAGAAUGCGUAUCCCUUGGCACUUCAAAAUCUCACGCAGGGAGCCUGGGGGUCAGAAGCCAGGGCAAAAUAUUGGCAACAUACAAAGUGCAUUAAAAGACAAUGAUCUUGGGAAUAGGAAAGGAUGAAUUGGGAGUUCAAGAUCUGCAGAUACUAACUACUAUAAAUAAAAUAGAUAAACAACAAGUUUCUACUGUGUAGCACAGGCAACUAU